AUGUCAUCCUGGUGAGUCCUGUCCGUCCUGUGACUGAGGGACAUUCGGUCACUCUUGGCUGCAAGUUGAGGACAGAAAACCUUCUUUAUAAUGUGGAUUUCUAUAAAAAUGACAAACUCGUCCCAAAUGCUGUCAGAGGGGAGCUGCUUAUCUCUGCAGUUACUAAGUCAGAUGAAGGCUUUUAUAAAUGUAGAGGAUGGAAAUCACCUCAAGGUUUGGAGACUUUGACCUCAGCAGAGAGCUGGUUGUCAGUGAAAUAUCCUGAAGAAGCAGCACCACGCUCUGUGUUUCCCGUGCUGUUGGUUGUUGGUCUGGUUUCUGGAGUUUUACUGAUUAUUCUCCUGCUGCUGUUUCUGUGUUGCUACAGAAAGUCAAAAGCUUUGAGCCCCAGCAGGUCUCAGAGGAGCAAUCAGAGCCCAGCUACAGACCACAUGAUCAACCAGGGUGAAACUCAAGAUGGACAUCACACCUCUCCUCUUCCUGAUGAAUCCAGACUCACAUAUUCUGUGGUUCAGUUCAAAAACUUUAAAAAGAAGGAAAAGCACGAUGAACCAGACGAGAGCCCCGUUUACUCGGAUGUGAGGAUUGCAUCAGCUGCAGAUGACAACGUGACGUAUGCCCAGGUUCACCUCCCCACUGAAAAGAAGGGCAAUGAAGGAAAAUCCAGAUGUGUAUUCUGAAGUCAAUCCAGGAACAUCUGAUCAAUAAAGAUAUCCGUGUAACCGACCAACAUGAAAACAAUCUCUUUAAGAUAUAAGAUGUGUCCUUAAUCAGCUCCAGAGCAGACAGCUUGGUGUACUAUGGAAGCAUAUUCCCUUGUUCUAGUCUGCUUUGAUGGAUGAGGUUCUGGUCAAAAAGGAGGAUUUGAUCUUUGCAGGUUUCUUCAUUGUAUCCACAGAGGUUGAGUAAAAAAAGAGCGUUGAUCUUUCUUUCCCCGAUACGUCAUUAUAACAUAGAGCCAUGAUGCUUCCCCCCCGGGGAAACGAGAACCUUCAUCUUAUGGAGACAUUUCAUCAUCUGCACAGUUUUAGGUUUUGAGAGUUUUUCAUGCCCAGAGACACGGACCAAAGUAAAGUGCUGCAUAUCUCCUUCUAAAAUGAAGCAUCAUCAAAUAGAGACUCAUCGAAAUGGGAGCUGGUGCUUCUCUGUGGACACAUAAUUACAGUCUCAUGAGUGCUACUGAGAUUCAUUUUAAAAUGUUAGAUAUAGUCUGAAGUAGCAUAAAACCUUCUGCUUGACCCCUUACAUCCCUCUGUAAUACUUUUUUUCCAGUAAAAGGAAUGGUAUAUGGUAUGGUAUAUAUAAUAUUGAGCACCAUAUACAUAAAAUCAUAAAAUCAAAUCAAAAAUCAUAAAUCAUAAAAAGUCAUAAAAUAAUUAGCUUUAUCAUUUUAGGAGGAGGAGGUUGGAUACAGUAACAAAAAAUAAACUAUUAUACUAUUAUAUAAAAUAUUUGAAUGCACACACACCGUUUGUCUUGUUACUCAAACAUCAAGAGGCUGAUUAUCAGUGUAGUGGUCCUCGUACAGCAAGCUGAUGACCACACAUCAAAGAUCUUAAAGAGAACUAUACAAUAAUUCAUAUGUGGAAUUAUUUUAGUCAUUAUUAUAAUUCAGAGCUUCAGACUUUCUUUGAAGCUGAAGUUCUGCUGCCGGUUUAGAGUCUCGACGACGGUCUCCUCAUGUCCUUGAAUUAAAACAUUGUUAGUUUUAAUGCACAAUGAUGGACAAUAAACAAGCUGCACUCUGCGGAUACAGACAAGACGUUAAAGUUACAUUUAAACAUGAAGUUAUGAAUCUAAACUCUGUCCUCAAACAGACGUAACCGGUGAACAACAUCAGUCUCUGACACCACAUUAAAACGUAUGAAGACUCGUUAUAGUACAGUUAAAUCUCAUGUAUGCUACGGAGACGUGAAAACCGGCAUAGCAUUUCACAGAAGACUCGCCGAAAACAGGCUGCUCUGUGCGGGCUGAGAUGAGCUGACCGCCUGGUGCUGGAGGGUCUGACGGUCCGUUAACUACACCUCACAUCUCCAUCCACGGUGUUACGUCCCCUGUUCUGUGUAUUGGUUUGUGUAUGUGUUCUGUGUUGUGUGUGUGAGCAUACAGGUGGUACUGAUCAUCCAUGAUCUCCAUUCAUCUUGACUCCCCCCCCGCUCGUUACCCAGUUCAGCUGUUUCCACUCAUCUCCAAUCCCAUCAUGCCCUUCUGUCAGUAUAUGUACCCCUGUGCUUGUUUCACCUGGGUGUGUGGCACUCUGGUUGUGUAUACGUGAGUGCUGGGGCCUGUUUCAAUAAGGAGGUUCAACCAACUCUGAGUUAAAACUUGAACUCUGAGUUGACUUACCCUGAGAUGGGAAACUCUGAGUUUUCGGUUACAGAACAGCUGAAAUGAGUUAGUUCAAUCAACUCUGAGUUGACCUACUCUGAGUUAAGCGCGUGCACCACAACUAUAAAAAGCCAUUAUCAAUGGAGCGCAGAUAUUACGAGUCACCAUGGCCACAGCGCCAGACAAAAAGAGGUCUUCAUAUUUUUCACCAGCAGAACUGGAUGUGCUUAUGCAAG